rnacentral:rRNA from 1 species
CAGUCGCCACGGGAAUACGUAGGGUGCAAGCGUUAAUCGGAAUUACUGGGCGUAAAGCGUGCGUAGGCGGUUUGUUAAGACAGAUGUGAAAUCCCCGGGCUCAACCUGGGAACUGCAUUUGUGACUGGCAAGCUAGAGUGUGGCAGAGGGGGGUGGAAUUCCGCGUGUAGCAGUGAAAUGCGUAGAUAUGCGGAGGAACACCGAUGGCGAAGGCAGCCCCCUGGGCCAACACUGACGCUCAUGCACGAAAGCGUGGGGAGCAAACAGGAUUAGAUACCCCGGUAGUCCCUGUCUCUUAUAA